UAUUAAGUUUGAUUUUGGUUUUAGUUGUAUUAAGAUAGUAUUACUUAUUUUUAGUUUAUCGAGUGUGUAAUUUUUUGUUCACUGGUAGUUUUUUAAUUGUUUUAUUGAUGUUCCAGAAUAAUCGGCUAUACAUUUUAAUUUUUAACUCUAUUUGUUGUAAUAUUACGAUUUUUUUUGUUUUUUUGUUUUAUGUUUUUUUUUGUAAAAUAUUUAAAUUUAUUUAUGUUUUUUUGUAAUAUUGAAAAUUUGGUGUUUGAACUGGAUUAGUACCCAGGUAAUCAAAAUUUAUUAAUUCGGGAGUAAAGUUUUGUUUAAACCGAAAAAAUAUUGACUGACUUUAGAUUUUUCUUUGGAAUAUGUGUUUUUUUGGAGAGCCCUCUUUUAUAGUGAAUUUUGUUGGCGCAUGUAUGAUUGUUUAGUUUUUACUUUUUUGGUAAUGCUUUGUGUUUUAUACAUUUAAAACAGAUAUAUAUUUGGCUUAUGGAUUUAUUUUUCAUGUGUUACUAUUGUUAAUUUUCUUUGGAUUAAUUUUUAAUUUUUUUGUUGAAAUUGGAAAAGAAAGUAAUUUUUUCUUAAUGUAAUAAUGAAUUUAAUAAAUAAAGUGGUACAAACCAUCCGUCAAUGGCCUAAAGGGGCGUAAGUUGUAGUAUGGUAGAGGUAAGGAAACUUGUUUCUAUUUUUUUUUGG
rnacentral:ncRNA from 1 species